rnacentral:rRNA from 1 species
UACGUAGGGGGGCAAGCGUUGUCCGGAAUUAUUGGGCGUAAAGAGCUCGUAGGCGGCUUAGUAAGUCGGCGGUGAAAUACCGAGGCUCAACCUCGGCACUGCCGUCGAUACUGCUAUGGCUAGAGUUUGGUAGAGGAGAACGGAAUUCCCGGUGUAGCGGUGGAAUGCGCAGAUAUCGGGAGGAACACCCGUAGCGAAGGCGGUUCUCUGGGCCGAUACUGACGCUGAGGAGCGAAAGCGUGGGGAGCGAACAGG